rnacentral:rRNA from 1 species
AGUGAACGCUGGCGGUAUGCCUAACACAUGCAAGUCGAACGGCAGCACAGGAAGAUCUUGCUCUUACGGGUGGCGAGUGGCGGACGGGUGAGGAAUACAUCGGAAUCUACUUUUUUGGGGGGGAUAACGGAGGGAAACUUACGCUAAUACCUCAUACGACCUACGGGUGAAAGCAGGGGAUCUUCGGACCUUGCGCGUUUGAAUGAGCCGAUGUCGGAUUAGCUAGUUGGCGGGGUAAAGGCCCACCAAGGCGACGAUCCGUAGCUGGUCUGAGAGGAUGAUCAGCCACACUGGAACUGAGACACGGUCCAGACUCCUACGGGAGGCAGCAGUGGGGAAUCUUGGACAAUGGGCGCAAGCCUGACCCAGCCAUACCGCGUGGGUGAAGAAGGCCUUCGGGUUGUAAAGCCCUUUUGUUGGGAAAGAAAAGCAGCAGGUUAAUCCACCGCUGUUCUGACGGUACCCAAAGAAUAAGCCCCGGCUAACUUCGUG